rnacentral:lncRNA from 1 species
AGGUAAUUCCACCUGAUUUAGCAGGCAAACUGAACUUUCAAAUUAUGAUAAUAAAUAUCUGAUCACGAGGUAUGCAAACAGCAGGACACUUCGUUUUUCUUUUCCAUUCUUCUGUUGAAGGCGAGCAACGAUACAUAGCAGCUUCUUCACGCAAAAAGAAGCAGCAGCGGUACUCCAUAGCUAAGCACUAAGAGUUAAAAACACAGUAAGAACGUGAGCACAAAUGAAGGACACACUUAUGCACAGAGGGACAGGCAAUUCUACGAGACGUCCACCGGCCUAGCCUCACAGGUCCGUGGUCGUCGAGACAUCGAUCAUCGUGCUCCGGUUCACGAUGAUCAUCCCCCUGACCUCCGACGGGCCGAGAUGGUCCGUCAAGGCCUUCUUCGCGGCGGCGGCAGCCCUGCUGCCCUGAGACCGUCUGCCGGCACCGACCGAGGUCCUCGGGCUCGACAGCCGCCCCGGGGAGAAGCUCGGCGUGGCGUAUGCCGUCACGAACGGCGUGCCCAAGGCAGGCACCUGCUGGUAGGGCGGCACCACGGCCCUGCCGCACGCCAUCUUCAGGUCGGCUUCACCCGACGACAGUUGCUCCACGUGCCUGUUCAGCUCGUCGAUGUUGAGAAGAUCGUCGAUGCGCGCCACGAUGUUCGAAGCCAGGCUCUCCAAAACCCUCGAAUAGCUCUCCAGGAUCGACUUGCCCACAUCCUGAAAAUUGUUCACCAUGCAGCGAUGGUGAAUGAACUCAGUUGUUGACAGGCAAAUGGGUGAAAAGACAGACAAAGGGACACACACUUGCAAGCAAACCAACCUUGUUGUACUGAAUUUUGCUCAUGUCCAGGCUUGUCUGCGUCAGUGCAGGGAACCUCUGCUUGAGGCAUAUCAAGAGGCCCUCUUCUUGCUGGCCAUCAUUGCGGGUACGUCGGCGGUGCGAUCACUGGCCGGAGUUUUGAAAACGCGAGAGCCAGGCCACACUGCCUUUCCGGUUCUUCAGGUUCCAGAAAACAGCAGUAAAAGCUGCAGGAUUUCACUUUUAACUGGAGUCCGUCCGUACCGAUCAAACUAACUGGUGCAGGUAAUUCCACCUGAUUUAGCAGGCAAACUGAACUUUCAAAUUAUGAUAAUAAAUAUCUGAUCACGAGGUAUGCAAACAGCAGGACACUUCGUUUUUCUUUUCCAUUCUUCUGUUGAAGGCGAGCAACGAUACAUAGCAGCUUCUUCUCGCAAAAAGAAGCAGCAGCGGUACUCCAUCGCUAAGCACUAAGAGUUAAAAACACAGUAAGAACGUGAGCACAAAUGAAGGACACAAUUAUGCACAGAGGGACAGGCAAUUCUACGAGCCGUCCACCGGCCUAGCCUCACAGGUCCGUGGUCGUCGAGGCAUCGAUCAUCGUGCUCCGGUUCACGAUGAUCAUCCCCCUAACCUCCGACGGGCCGAGAUGGUCCGUCAAGGCCUUCUUCGCGGCGGCGGCAGCCCUGCUGCCCUGAGUCCGUCUGCCGGCACCGACCGAGGUCCUCGGGCUCGACAGCCGCCCCGGGGAGAAGCUCGGCGUGGCGUACGCCGUCAAGAACGGCGUGCCCAAGGCAGGCACCUGCUGGUAGGGCGGCACCACGGCCCUGCCGCACGCCAUCUUCAGGUCGGCUUCACCCGACGGCAGUUGCUCCACGUGCCUGUUCAGCUCGUCGAUGUUGAGAAGAUCGUCGAUGCGCGCCACGAUGUUCGAAGCCAGGCUCUCCAAAACCCUCGAAUAGCUCUCCAGGAUCGACUUGCCCACAUCCUGAAAAUUGUUCACCAUGCAGCGAUGGUGAAUGAACUCAGUUGUUGACAGGCAAAUGGGUGGAAAGACAGACAAAGGGACACACACUUGCACAGCAAACCAACCUUGUUGUACUGAAUUUUGCUCAUGUCCAGGCUUGUCUGCGUCAGUGCAGGGAACCUCUGCUUGAGGCAUAUCAAGAGGCCCUCCGCUUGCUGGCCAUCAUUGCGGGUACGUCGGCGGUGCGAUCACUGGCCGGAGUUCUUGAAAACGCGAGAGCCAGGCCACACUGCCUUUCCGGUUCUUCAGGUUCCAGAAAACAGCAGUAGAAGCUGCAGGUUUUCACUUUUAACCGGAGUCCGUCCGUACCGAUCGAACUAACUGGUGCAGGUAAUUCCACCUGAUUUAGCAGGCAAACUGAACUUUCAUAUUAUGAUAAUAAAUAUCUGAUCACGAGGUAUGCAAACAGCAGGACACUUCGUUUUUCUUUUCCAUUCUUCUGUUGAAGGCGAGCAACGAUACAUAGCAGCUUCUUCUCGCAAAAAGAAGCAGCAGCGGUACUCCAUCGCUAAGCACUAAGAGUUAAAAACAUAGUAAGAACGUGAGCACAAAUGAAGGACACACUUAUGCACAGAGGGACAGGCAAUUCUACGAGCCGUCCACCGGCCUAGCCUCACAGGUCCGUGGUCGUCGAGACAUCGAUCAUCGUGCUCCGGUUCACGAUGAUCAUCCCCCUGACCUCCGACGGGCCGAGAUGGUCCGUCAAGGCCUUCUUCGCGGCGGCGGCAGCCCUGCUGCCCUGAG